rnacentral:rRNA from 1 species
UAGUUUCGUACAAUAGACCCGAAGCCCGACGAUCUAUCCAUGUCCAGGUUGAAGCCCCGGUGAAGCGGGGUGGAGGACCGAACCGAAGCCUGUUGAAAAAGUCUCGGAUGAGGUGUGGAUAGGAGUGAAAAGCUAAUCGAGUUGGGUGAUAGCUGGUUCUCCCCGAAAUGCAUUUAGGUGCAGCCCCGAAUGUUUAGUGUUGGGGGUAGAGCGCUGACUGGACGCGGGCGGAUGUGACCGUACCAAAUCCAAUCAAACUGCGAAUACCAACACUUAAGAGUUCGGGAGUGAGACUGCGGGAGAGAAGUUUCGUAGUCGAGAGGGAAAGAGCCCAGACCCACAGCUAAGGUCCCAAAGCCAUGCUGAGUGUGGCAAGGAUGUGACGAUGCCCGGACAGCCAGGAGGUUGGCUUAGAAGCAGCCACCCUUUAAAGAGUGCGUAAUAGCUCACUGGUCGAGGAUUGUUGCGCCGAAAAUACCGGGGGCUAAGCAUGGCACCGAAGCUUGGGGAUUGGAAAGUAAAAUUCCGAAUCGGUAGGGGAGCGUUCCAUGUGGGGAGAAGUCGAACCGGCAAGGUUUGGUGGACUGCAUGGAAGAGAGAAUGCCGGCAUGAGUAACGCGAAGUGUGUGAGAAUCACACUCACCGGAAGUCCAAGGAUUCCUGGGGAAGGUUGAUCCGCCCAGGGUAAGGCGGGGCCUAAGGUCAGGCCGAAAGGCGUAGCUGAUGGACAACAGGUUGCUAAUCCUGUCCCGCUAUGGAGUCGUUUGACGAUGGAGUGACGCAGGAAGCUAGGUGCGCCGGCAGAUGGAAGCCGGUCUAAGGGCGAAGCCUGGGUUGGGAGGCAAAUCCCCCGAUCUAAAGGUGAGACCUGAUGGGGAGCGUUCAGCGAUGAACGCGAAGGCAUUGACGCUCAACUGCCGGGAAAAGCUUCUAAGGAGACGCCAUAGCGCCCGUACCCGAAACCGACACAGGUGGACUGGCUGAGAAGGCUAAGGUGAGCGGGAGAACUAUCGUUAAGGAACUCUGCAAGUUGACCCCGUAACCUAGGGAGAAGGGGUGCCACAGAGGUGAAGAUGGACAAUCGGAGCCGGAUGUGGUCGCAGAAACCAGGCACAGGCGACUGUUUACUAAAAACACAGGACUCUGCAUAAGGCGCAAGCCGAAGUAUAGGGUCUGACACCUGCCCGGUGCUGGAAGGUUAAAUGGAGGGGUUAGUCGCAAGGCGAAGCUCUGAAAUGAAGCCCCAGUAAACGGCGGCCGUAACUAUAACGGUCCUAAGGUAGCGAAAUUCCUUGUCGGGUAAGUUCCGACCUGCACGAAAGGUGUAACGAUCUGUGCGCUGUCUCGACGGUAGACCCGGUGAAAUUGUGGUCCUGGUAAAGACGCCAGGUACCCGUGGUGGGACGGAAAGACCCCAUGGAGCUUUACUGUAACUUGGUAUUGGAUUUUGUCCUAUGAUGCACAGGAUAGGUGGGAGGCUUUGAGGUAAGGAUCUUGGUUCUUACGGAGCCGUCGUUGGGAUACCACCCUUUGUAUGAUGAAAUUCUAACCCUUGAGCGUUGAAACACGCGAGGGGACAUUGCCAGGCGGGCAGUUUGACUGGGGCGGUCGCCUCCCAAAGAGUAACGGAGGCGCGCAAAGGUCACCUCGGGGCGAAUGGAAAUCGCCCAUAGAGAGCGUAAGCGUAUAAGGUGGCUUGACUGAGAGACUGACGGGUCGAUCAGGAACGAAAGUUGGUGCUAGUGAUCCGGUGGUUCCGAAUGGAAGGGCCAUCGCUCAACGGAUAAAAGCUACCCUGGGGAUAACAGGCUGAUCUCGCCCGAGAGUUCCUAUCGACGGCGUGGUUUGGCACCUCGAUGUCGGCUCAUCGCAUCCUGGGGCUGAAGCAGGUCCCAAGGGUUGGUCUGUUCGCCCAUUAAAGCGGUACGUGAGCUGGGUUUAGAACGUCGUGAGACAGUUCGGUCCCUAUCCACCAUGGGCGUAAGGUAUUUGAGGAGAUCUGUUCCUAGUACGAGAGGACCGGAAUGGACGAACCGCUAGUGUAUCGGUUGUGGCGCCAGCUGCAUAAGCCGGGUAGCUAUGUUCGGCCGGGAUAACCGCUGAAAGCAUCUAAGUGGGAAGCCCCCUCCAAGAUGAGAUACCUCGCUCCUUUGAGGAGAUAAGAUGCCCGCGAGACGAGCGGAUUGAUAGGCCGGGAGUGUAAGCGCUGAGAGGUGUUGAGCUGACCGGUACUAAAGCAUCGAA